GAAGGCUAGGGGGCUUCACCGCCUACCAACCCUUAACAAACUCUGAAUGCCAACAAUUAGCAGCGGCAGUGAGCCCCAGGGUGCGAAGGUCAUGGGGCGAGAGGGGAACAACCCAGACCAUCAGCUAAGGUCCCUAAAUAUAGUUAAGUUGCAUUAAACGAGGUGGGAAUGCACAGACAGCUAGGAUGUUUGCUUGGAAGCAGCAAUUCAUUUAAAGAGUGCGUAACAGCUCACUAGUCGAGCGUUCCUGCGCGGAAAAUAAGCGGGCAUCAAACUAUAUACCGAAGCUAUGGACUUAAGAGAUUAAGUGGUAGGGGAGCAUUCAGUCGGGUUGAAGCGGGAUGGUGAUGUUCCGUGGACUGAACUGAAAAGCAAAUGUAGGCAUAAGUAACGAUAAAUGGCGUGGAAAACGUCAUCGCCGUAAGACUAAGGGUUCCUUGAUCUACGUUCAUCGGAUCAGGGUUAGCCGGGACCUAAGGAUAAGCCGAAAGGUGAUUUCGAUGGAAAGUGGGUUAAUAUUCCUACGCCUGUAUAUAUUGCGAGUUGGGGACGGAGUUGAAGAGUCAUCGCGUACUUACGGAAUAGUACGUUAAAGCGCAAGCGAUAGUACGCCGAGGACUUCGGUUCGAGGUGAUAGUGUGGUGAAUUGACUUCCAGGAAAAGCCGACAAAGCAUCAGGUAUAUACAGCCCGUACCGUAAACCGACACAGGUAGUCGAGGAGAGCAUCCUAAGGCGCUCGAGUGAUUCGUGGCUAAGGAACUAGGCAAAAUGGUCUCGUAACUUCGGGAGAAGAGACGCUGGCAGCAAUGUCAGCCGCAGUGAAGAGGCCCAGGCGACUGUUUAGCAAAAACACAGGGCUAUGCCAAAUCGUAAGAUGAUGUAUAUGGCCUGACACCUGCCCGGUGCCGGAAGGUUAAGGAAGGGGCUUAGUGCGCAAGUGCGAAGGUCUUAACUGAAGCCCCGGUAAACGGCGGCCGUAACUAUAACGGUCCUAAGGUAGCGAAAUUCCUUGUCGGGUAAGUUCCGACCUGCACGAAUGGUGUAACGAUCUGGGCACUGUCUCAGCCACGAGCUCGGUGAAAUUGAAGUAUCGGUGAAGAUGCCGAUUACCCGCAACGGGACGGAAAGACCCCGUGAACCUUUACUACAGCUUUGCAUUGGGCUUGACUAUUCGAUGCGUAGGAUAGGUGGGAGGCGCUGAUCUUGGUAUUCCGGUACUGAGGGAGUCGACGUUGAAAUACCACCCUUUGACUAGUUGAGUCCUAACGGAGAAAUCCAGACAGUGCAUGGUGGGUAGUUUGACUGGGGUGGUCGCCUCCUAAAGAGUAACGGAGGCUUGCAAAGGUACCCUCAGCAUGGACGGUAAUCAUGCGAAGAGCGUAUUAGUAUAAGGGUGCUUGACUGAGAGACCGACGGGUCGAUCAGGGACGAAAGUCGGCUAAAGUGAUCCGGUGGUUCCGCAUGGAAGGGCCAUCGCUCAAAGGAUAAAA
rnacentral:rRNA from 1 species